rnacentral:rRNA from 1 species
UGGGGAAUAUUGGACAAUGGGGGGAACCCUGAUCCAGCCAUGCCGCGUGUGUGAAGAAGGCCUUAUGGUUGUAAAGCACUUUAAGCGAGGAGGAGGGUACUGGUAUUAAUACUACCAGCUACUGGACGUUACUCGCAGAAUAAGCACCGGCUAACUCUGUGCCAGCAGCCGCGGUAAUACAGAGGGUGCGAGCGUUAAUCGGAUUUACUGGGCGUAAAGCGUGCGUAGGCGGCUAAUUGAGUCGGAUGUGAAAUCCCCGAGCUUAACUUGGGAAUUGCAUUCGAUACUGGUUAGCUGGAGGGUGGGAGAGGAUGGUAGAAUUCCAGGUGUAGCGGUGAAAUGCGUCGAGAUCUGGAGGAAUACCGAUGGCGAAGGCAGCCAUCUGGCCUAACACUGACGCUGAGGUACGAAAGCAUGGGGAGCAAACAGG